GGAUAAAAGCAACUGGGAGUGGGACAGUUGUCCCUCACUUUGUGAUGCUGUCCUGGAACCCCAUCACCAAGGGAACAAAGCAGACAUGGGAUGGUGCUCUCCCUACAGGCUUUCUCUUCUCCCAUGCUUCUUGGGUACCUGAGCAUUCAGGAGCACUGCUCGUCUACCAAGAUUUUCAGGAGAUCAUAAAUCAGAGUAAAUCAGCUGUGGGAGUCUCAUGUCUUUGGUUUGGAAUCUGUCAAGGAAACUCAUGCAAUUGGUACAUUUAACCUCAGAUCAGAUCAACACAGAAACAGAAGAAAGCUUUGAUGACAGCAAAGUGUAUGCUGAGAAGAAGGAGAAUGUGAAUUAUUCAGCCAUCUCCACAGGAUAUUUUCCAUAUUACAGAUCAAAUGAGGAGCAGUUUGUCCAGCCUCUCUUAUAUGGCUUAAAUGCAGAGGGAGAUAAGCCUGACAACAACUGGAAAGAUGAAGGAGAAGGUGGAUGUGCAGAGCUUGGUGGAGAUGUUGAGAAGACCACCCACCCAACUCUGGGGACAGAGAGGAGGCCAUGUUCUUCCAUGACCAAUGUAGAGCCAACAUCCCAGCAGCUCCUAGGAGGCAGCAACUUGGGAAGCUGCCUGUCAACCUUCUCCCUGUCCAGCACACCGCCAGGCCUGGACCAGCCCUUUUCUUCCAGUGGAUAUUUCCCUUACUACAGAACAGAAGCAGAGCUCUGCAUCGGCCCAGCAAUGUGUGACAAGUUUCUCACCAGGACAGAAGUUUCGGAGAAUGAAGAGGGAAGACAGGUGGAAGAAAAAAACACUUGGAAUUUUGGUGCCAGAUGCCUGGUGUCCUGAGAACAAAGCAGCAAGUUUGUCAGCAAAAGACAGAGGCUGAUUUAACACAGACGUGAAUUAGAAGUUCUUGAAAGCUAUAGCCACAUGAACAUCUGUAUGAAUAUGGAAUAAAAUAUACACCUCCCUUUGAAUUAAACGGUAA
rnacentral:lncRNA from 1 species